CGCUCUGGCGACGGCCGGACCCACGUCUGUCUGUUCCGCCCCUGCUGCCAGGGUGGCCUUCAGUGGUCCUCUCUUUCGGAGAGUUCCCCCCAAGCGUGAGCACCCCUUGCAGGGGCGUUAGGUCCGCGGCCGCGCUGUCCAGCGGUCUGACCUGCAGCUCCCAGGGCCUUUGUGUCUGUCCCUCGCAUGGGCCUCUGCACGCUCCGUCCCCACGCGGCAGGACCCGAGUCCGAUUCGGGGCGCUGGCUCAGACCCUACCCCGCAGCGCCCCUCCUGCAAAUGCUCUUCUGAACUUUGGUUUUCCCCGCCUUGCUUUCCUCCUCCUCCUGUGGCCGCUGCCUCUCGAUCUCAGAAGCUUCUCUUCCUCUGCACUCAGUGCUAGGCCAGAUCCCAAGGCGACCUGACCUUUCUUUCUCCUGGCUUUGCUCACAACACAGGCACCAGUGAUUCCAAACCUGCAUCUCCCCUACGUUCCAGGCCCCAGCAUCCCACUGCAUGUUCCACAUCCCCCCCCUUAGACAGCUCACCUUCCCUCCCCAAACGAUUCCUUCCACAGUCUUCACUUUCUCAGAACGCGGCGCUAAACUCCUCUAAGUUGGAAGGCCAAAAACCUUGCAGCUAACUUUGAUUCCUCCUUCUGCCUCACCUCCAAUCCAUCAAGACCUGUUCAGUUAGCCCACAAGCUGAAGGCCCCAUCUCGUGUCACCCAGACUACUCAUCUUGUUUGGUUUUGCCUGGAUCUAUCAUGCUUUAAAUCUUUAAAAUGAAAUUAAAUCAUGAUCCCCUACAUCCAGCCUAAAACCCUCCAUGAAUUCCCAUUGCACCUAAAAUCCAUACUCCCUGCUUGGCCUAGCAGGUUCUAUAUGACCUGCCCAUCUCACCAGUUUCAUCUCUCACAAGUGAUCCUUCACUCUCCAUUCUCCAGCCACAAGGCCUUUUUCUGGUUAUGGAAUAUAAUUCAUACUCUUCGUCUUUCUGAAGCCAUUCUUGAAACUCACCCCUGCAAUCUAUCUACCCUUGUCAGCACCGCCAAAAUUGAGGACACCCACGGUCGCGGUGGAGCCUGUCUGACCUGUUGAGCCAGGCAGUGGGUCGGCUGCCAGACACAGCAGGACAACUUACUGCAUUUCAGAGGAAUGAUGGUCCACAAUUUACUGAUGAGGAAACAGAGAUUCAGAGAAGUUCUACAGUUUGCCCCAAAGCCACAUAACUAACAUAACUAGGUGGGAAUUAGAACCCAAGUCGGCCUGACUCCAUGAGUUUUCUGCCUCACAGGAGAUCCACUGGCUUAGAGUUUCUCUCUCAUCAACCAGGCUGGCGUGCAAUGGCACAAUCUUGGCUCACUGCAAUCUCCGCCUCCCGAGUUCAAGCAGUUCUCCUGCCUCAGUCUCCUGAGUCUCUUUUGAUUCAGUGCUAUCACAGGUUGGGUUCUUUGGAUGCAGACUCUGACAGGUUAGUGUACAGCAUGUUUGUUGGGGAGUGGC